rnacentral:rRNA from 1 species
GACGAACGCUGGCGGCGGGCUUAACACAUGCAAGUCGAACGGAAAGGCCCUGCUUUUGUGUGGUGCUCGAGUGGCGAACGGGUGAGUAACACGUGAGUAACCUGCCCUUGACUUUGGGAUAACUUCAGGAAACUGGGGCUAAUACCGGAUAGGAGCUCCUGCUGCAUGGUGGGGGUUGGAAAGUUUCGGCGGUUGGGGAUGGACUCGCGGCUUAUCAGCUUGUUGGUGGGGUAGUGGCUUACCAAGGCUUUGACGGGUAGCCGGCCUGAGAGGGUGACCGGCCACAUUGGGACUGAGAUACGGCGCAGACUCCUACGGGAGGCAGCAGUGGGGAAUAUUGCACAAUGGGCGGAAGCCUGAUGCAGAAACGCCGCGUGCGGGAUGCCGGCCUUCGGGUUGUAAACCGCUUUAGCCUGUGACGAAGCGUGAGUGACGGUAAUGGGUAAAGAAGCACCGGCUAACUACGUG